CCCUUGGAUGUCCUGGGCUGCACGCGCGCUACACUGGAAGUUACGGAUUGAGAUACUACCUUGUCCGAAAUGGUCCGGGUAAUCACCUAAAAGCUUGUCAUAAUUGGAAUGGAUUAUUGUAACUAGUAAUCCUGAACGAGGAAUUCCUAGUAAGUCCCAGUCAACAGCUGGUACUGAUUACGUCCCUGCCCUUUGUACACACCGCCCGUCGCUACUACUGAUUGGACGUUUAAGCAAGAUUUUUAAACACUGACAGUGUGUAGUUCACGCUAUACUACAGUGAGAAGAAGAAGAUCGAGCUUACUUGUCUAGAGGAAGUAAAAGUCGUAACA
rnacentral:rRNA from 1 species